UGAACGCUGGCGGCAUGCUUUACACAUGCACGUCGAACGGUAACAGGCCGCAAGGUGCUGACGAGUGGCGAACGGGUGAGUAAUGCAUCGGAACGUGCCCAGUCGUGGGGGAUAACUACUCGAAAGAGUAGCUAAUACCGCAUACGAUCUAUGGAUGAAAGCGGGGGACCGUAAGGCCUCGCGCGAUUGGAGCGGCCGAUGUCAGAUUAGGUAGUUGGUGGGGUAAAGGCUCACCAAGCCAACGAUCUGUAGCUGGUCUGAGAGGACGACCAGCCACACUGGGACUGAGACACGGCCCAGACUCCUACGGGAGGCAGCAGUGGGGAAUUUUGGACAAUGGGCGCAAGCCUGAUCCAGCAAUGCCGCGUGCAGGAAGAAGGCCUUCGGGUUGUAAACUGCUUUUGUACGGAACGAAACGGCUCUGGUUAAUACCCGGGGCUAAUGACGGUACCGUAAGAAUAAGCACCGGCUAACUACGUG
rnacentral:rRNA from 1 species